rnacentral:rRNA from 1 species
AUGGUACCAGGGGGACGUCCGUGGAGGUGGCGCUGCAGGAGACCACGGGUGUUCGCGGCGGAUCCGCGGGCGUCUGUAGCGGCGGCAAUCGAUGGAGAGAAGAUGAAUCCCCAGGCUCUUGGUUGGAAUAAGAGGGUGAGGAUAGGCACAGGCACUCAUUGCAGGAAACCAUGCCCGUCGUGUGUAACUGCAUUUGAGAAAGUUGUAAGGGGGUAUGCAGAGAACCCUUCAGAGAACGUCAUUGUGCUGAUGCUGGGCUCAAGCUUCGAUUCGCUCGGAGAAGCUUAUGAUUUCUACAACUUUUAUUCCUGGGAGAGGGGAUUUGGAACAAGGUACAAGAAGAGUAGAGUGAAUGUCGAGAGGAUGAAGGGCAUGCAGGAGGUCAUGUGCGGGUGA